GCUGAGUAUCUGUUAGCUCAGUCGGUAGAGCAUGAGGCUCUUAAUCUCAGGGUUGUGGGUUCAAGCCCCAUGUUGGGCA